GGUGGGGGCAGUGAGGAUGCUGUGUGUGCCCGGCAAGCAGAGCAGCAGCGGUCACCGCAGGCGCGUGGAGAACCUGUAACUCGCCUUUCCCAGGCGGCACCUGCAUCAGCACCGUUGUGACCCGACGCUGGUCUCAGCUGCCCUUCUCCUGCUCUGCUUGUCUCCCCAGUGGCCGCAUGCCGCUGCUGAAGGACAACCCCCUGCCACAGCCCCUCGCCUUCCGCGGACGGCCCAAACCUCCCCAGUCUCUCCAAACCCAGUGUUUCAUCCCUUCUGUCUCAAAGGAUGACCUUAACUUCUGUUUUUCAGAGACAAUAGAGACUAUCGUCACCUAGGUCCUACCCUCCCUGUCUCUAUAAGGACCUGCACCUGUGUGACUCUGGUCCUUUCUGCCUCUCCACCGGGUGUCCUUCCUCCUGUGUGGGGCUGGGCCCUGGACAUCUCAACCCACUCUGGGAAUGUGCCUCUUCCACUAACCAGUCCCUUCCCGUGGACUCCUUCCUCCGGGCAUAUACAAGUGGUAAAGAAAACAACACACACACACAAACAGGAAACAAAACCAUCCCAAUGAGGUGACCCUGUGUGGUUCUGUGCUUCCACUCAAUAGAGCGUAGAAAGGAUUCUAGAAAGAGAAGAUUCUAGAAAGAGAAGAUUCUAGAAGGGGAAGGACCUGUCUUCUUCAGUUACUGGAUCUGCAACCUUCCCUUCAUACAGUUUUGCUUGUUUGGUUUCUAUCAAAGGGCACCGAAGUGAUUCUGGACAGUAUGAGGAUGUGGUCUCACCCCACUGAGACUCACGGAACCGAUGUCUCCUCGUUCCUCUCUGCGACAGGUGCAGCGUCCGUGUUGGGUCGUACUGAGUCCGAGUCCCUGCUCGUCCUUGUUCACUUCUCCUUUUAACACAGGGCGGUCUCCUGCCCGGACCUUAGGUAGACACACUGUCUAGCUAAAAGGUAAUCCCUUUUUUGGUUUUCAUUGUAUUUAUUUCAUUUUAUUAUUUCUUAAAACCAUUUUGUUGAGGCAUGAGUGCCAUGUGAAGAGCUGUACAUAGGUAAUGCGAGUUUGGGGAUAAGGGUACACCCCCAAACCAUCACCAUCGUGCUCAUGGACAUACCCAUCACCUGCCACAGUAGUGUCCUGCCGCCUUUAUUAUGUAUGAUUCUUAUUUGUGUGGUAAGAAGCUAUACAUAAGUUCCCCAAAUUUUAGGUACGUAACCCAGUACGGUCAGUGAUAGGCACUGUUCUGUGCAGUGGAUCUUCUGCAUAUCUGAAACUUGAUUCCCAACGACCAACAUCUGCCCAUUUCCCCCACCCCUCGUCCCUGGCAACCACCGUUCUCCUCUCUGCCUCUAUGAAUUGGACCAUUUUAGAUUCCAUAUGUAAGUGAGAUCAUAUAUUAUUCGUCUUUCUGUGUCUGGCUUGUUUCAUGGAGCAUAACGCCCUCCGGGUCCCACCCUGUGGCCAAAAUGGCAGGACUUCCUUCUUUUAAAAGUCGGAACUGCAGUCCUUUGCACAUAUACAGCGUGUGAUUUUUAUCCACUCGCCCCUCGAUGCACACCUAGCUUGUUUCCGUGCCAUGGCUGCUUGUGGGUCGUCUGCCGUGAAUGCUGGAGCCCAGGGACCGCUCCAAGAUCCUGAUUGCAGUUUCCUUGGGAGAACUGCAGACUCUUUCCUUCAGAACCAACCUGAAGAGCUCAUGUGUGGGUCCAGCUUCACUAAACCCAGCAUCGAACACAGCCUUGUUAAUCACGCCGUAGUUGCCACCUAUUAAGAUCAAGACCCUCUGUAUUUAUUCUGGAUGAAAUGCAAGGUGAUCUACCUCGAGAAUUUGCUGGUAAAGGGUCACUCCAUUUGUCGGACUGUUUAGAAUCCCAUUUUGGAAAUCUGGGAUGUUAUCAAAAUUUCUAAAAAUGGUCCUUGAGAAUCCGAGUCCUGUCUGACACCCACCACGAAACGGAGCCAGACUGAUUUUGCUCUCCAGCUCAGAUUUGCAGGACUUGGCUGAGAGUCACCUGAAAUGACGUCCCUUUGGAGGAAGGGGCGGUACUGAAGGUCACCUUUUCUGAAAUUGGAAAAUGUUUGCAUGUUUUUGCUAAAACAAAUGAUCAGAAAAUAAUUUCUCGUAUGUAAAAUGGAAAGAAAAAGUAAUUUUUAAUCAACUCAGGUGAUUGAUGUGUUUAUAGUGAAGAAGGUGCGACCGCUCGCUCAGUGGAAAUAAAAUUUUCAGUUUUGUGCUC